rnacentral:lncRNA from 1 species
GACGAAUAAAUGGGUCUCGAUCAGUGGCCUACAUUGUACACUGACUCAAGUGUGCGAAUUCACGAUCAUGGCCAAAGAAAGGCACACACACAACCAUGCAUUGUUUGCCAUUGGUGCAUCCACUAGCUAGGCUCUCCGUUUGUGUGAGCGUACUUAUGAGAGAGGACGAGACAGUCAUGCAUUAUUUGCCAUCAGUGCAUCAACUAGUAGUAGACUCUUUGUGAGUGUCUACACCUGUCAGCAGUCACUUCUACACACUCUGCACUGACCAUGCACGUUGACAGUAGCUGUGCCUCAAAGCGUAGGCUGUCUGAAAUCGCUGCUAUGAUUUCUUUUUCCUUUUUUUUUUGUGUGUGUGAAAAUGUUGACAAGCCAGGUCGAUUGAUGAUCCGGUCCGUAUGGUUGUAAUGCAAGAUCAUGGCUCAGUGGACACAGUGUGCUUACACUCACUGUCUAUGCCUCAUGCCUGGAUGCAGAGGACGUACGGGAAGAACAUCGCGAUUGGGUCAGCAUGUUAGGACCAAAUGUUAAUGUGAACAAUUUUUGGAACUUGUAUAUUUUUAGCUGGAUCAACCAUCAAAUCAUCAACCACUAUUUUACUUGAAAAAAAUAAUCAUCGAUGACUAGCUAGUGCCAGUCACUGACUGACUGUGUCACUACUCACUAGCUAAUGCUAAUGGGCUGGUGAUGUAGUUUAAUCAAUUUAUCCAGGGCUUACCGUCCAAUUUGGUAAGCAAAGGACACAGAAGUUGACGGAGUAGAAUCCUAGGACUUACCAAAUUGGACAAAGAGGUUUGACAACCUCCCAGCUGUCAGGACUCAGGACACAGACUGAAUCCUUGUGUGCAGUGUGCUUUAUGUAUCUGAAUCAAUUGCUCUGUCAAACUGAAACCACUCAGUAAAUUGCCAUAUUACGUUCAACGAUUGAAGAAAACAUCACAAACUGAUCAUAACUACGUUCCAGAACAUUUUCUUGCACCUGUUCGCAUCAGAGGAAUUUUAUUAGCAUUUCACCAAGAAAUGGCUACAGAAGGAAUCAACUCUGAAGUUUGAGCUUCCACUUUCCAGGAUUAUCCAUAAGGCGUGAUCUUCCUCCACAAGAUCCACCACGAUCCUACUUCGUCAGCCAAAGAUACGCACCAAAGUGCAUAUGACGAUAUGCAUCAUUGCCAGGCUGAUUCCAGAGAUGGUAUACUUCCGGCUUGGCCAACAAGUGGCCAGUCGAUCAGGGACCAACAUGUUGAGGUA